rnacentral:rRNA from 1 species
CUACGGGGUGCAGCAGUGGGGAAUAUUGCACAAUGGACGAAAGUCUGAUGCAGCAACGCCGCGUGGAGGAUGACACAUUUCGGUGCGUAAACUCCUUUUAUAUAGGAAGAUAAUGACGGUACUAUAUGAAUAAGCACCGGCUAACUCCGUGCCAGCAGCCGCGGUAAUACGGAGGGUGCAAGCGUUACUCGGAAUCACUGGGCGUAAAGAGCGUGUAGGCGGGUUAAUAAGUUGGAAGUGAAAUCCUAUGGCUCAACCAUAGAACUGCUUCCAAAACUGUUAACCUAGAAUAUGGGAGAGGUAGAUGGAAUUUCUGGUGUAGGGGUAAAAUCCGUAGAGAUCAGAAGGAAUACCGAUUGCGAAGGCGAUCUACUGGAACAUUAUUGACGCUGAGACGCGAAAGCGUGGGGAGCAAACAGGAUUAGAUACCCGGGUAGUC